rnacentral:tRNA from 1 species
GGCGGUAUCGUCUAGCCCGGUCUAGGACGCCGGCCUCUCACGCCGGUAACAGGGGUUCAAAUCCCCUUACCGCUACCA